rnacentral:rRNA from 1 species
CCUGGCUCAGAGUGAACGCUGGCGGUAGGCCUAACACAUGCAAGUCGAACGGCAGCACAGAGGAGCUUGCUCCUUGGGUGGCGAGUGGCGGACGGGUGAGGAAUACAUCGGAAUCUACUUUUUCGUGGGGGAUAACGUAGGGAAACUUACGCUAAUACCGCAUACGACCUACGGGUGAAAGCAGGGGACCUUCGGGCCUUGCGCGAUUGAAUGAGCCGAUGUCGGAUUAGCUAGUUGGCGGGGUAAAGGCCCACCAAGGCGACGAUCCGUAGCUGGUCUGAGAGGAUGAUCAGCCACACUGGAACUGAGACACGGUCCAGACUCCUACGGGAGGCAGCAGUGGGGAAUAUUGGACAAUGGGCGCAAGCCUGAUCCAGCCAUACCGCGUGGGUGAAGAAGGCCUUCGGGUUGUAAAGCCCUUUUGUUGGGAA